rnacentral:lncRNA from 1 species
UCCCUUCAACUUUUCUCUUUAGUCCCUUCUCAGUCUGAUUCAGAAAAUGGUGAUUGCCUGUCUUUCUACCUGCUGGGAGUUUGCUGAGCCUUGUGGUGAGUAGUGGUAUGAGCCGUGAGAAGACAUGCAUACGUACAGAAGUUCACAUAUGAAAGAAGGAAGUAAUUAGCGUUUUUUCCUUCAAAGAAUAGGUGGUGCCUCAGCAAUGUCUUGACAGGCUUUCAAGCUUUCAUUUUAAAAAUACAAAGUGCAUCACCCCAGUCCUGACGUGAGAGAGCAAAACUAACAUUGUUGCUAAAAAUCAAUGCUAAACCUGCCAAGUAUAAUUUUUUUGGUGUUUUAGUAUUGAGGCAUUUUUUCUUACAUGUCUCAUGAGUAUAUCUUUGUUUCAACCUAAAUGCCAUAAAAUAUUUUUCUUGUUAAAAAUAUUGUAAAGAGAUUUCUGUGACUGUAAAUAGCACCAUGGUUUUUUUGACCUCUAAAUAAAAA